CCUACGGGCGGCAGCAGUGGGGAAUAUUGGACAAUGGGCGAAAGCCUGAUCCAGCCAUGCCGCGUGUGUGAAGAAGGCCUUCGGGUUGUAAAGCACUUUCAGUGGGGAAGAAAGCCUUGGGGCUAAUACCCUCGAGGAAGGACAUCACCCACAGAAGAAGCACCGGCUAACUCCGUGCACAGCAGCCGCGGUAAUACGGAGGGUGCGAGCGUUAAUCGGAAUUACUGGGCGUAAAGCGCGCGUAGGCGGUCUGAUAAGCCGGUUGUGAAAGCCCCGGGCUCAACCUGGGAACGGCAUCCGGAACUGUCAGGCUAGAGUGCAGGAGAGGAAGGUAGAAUUCCCGGUGUAGCGGUGAAAUGCGUAGAGAUCGGGAGGAAUACCAGUGGCGAAGGCGGCCUUCUGGACUGACACUGACGCUGAGGUGCGAAAGCGUGGGUAGCAAACAGGAUUAGAUACCCGGGUAGUC
rnacentral:rRNA from 1 species